rnacentral:rRNA from 1 species
AUUGAACGCUGGCGGCAGGCUUAACACAUGCAAGUCGAACGAGCGGCGGACGGGUGAGUAAUGUCUGGGAAACUGCCUGAUGGAGGGGGAUAACUACUGGAAACGGUAGCUAAUACCGCAUACCAUCAGAUGUGCCCAGAGGGGAUUAGCUCGUCGGUGGGGUAACGGCUCACCUAGGCGACGAUCCCUAGCUGGUCUGAGAGGAGGACCAGCCACACUGGAACUGAGACACGGUCCAGACUCCUACGAGAGGCAGCGGUGGGGAAUAUUACACAAUGGGCGCAAGCCUGAUGCAGCCAUGCCGCGGGUGUGAAGAAGGCCUUCGGUUGGUAAAGCACUUUCAGCGGGGAGGCGUUACUCGCAGAAGAAGCACCGGCUAACUCCGUGCCAGCAGCCGCGGUAAUAC